rnacentral:piRNA from 1 species
GUGUGUCUUUCGGUAUGGUUCUGUCAUA